UACGUAGGGGGCGAGCGUUGUCCGGAUUUAUUGGGCGUAAAGAGCGUGUAGGCGGCUUGGUAGGUCUGCUGUGAAAACUCGGGGCUCAACCCCGAGACGCCGGUGGAAACCACCUAGCUAGAGUCCGGAAGAGGAGAGUGGAAUUCCUGGUGUAGCGGUGAAAUGCGCAGAUAUCAGGAAGAACACCCGUGGCGAAGGCGGCUCUCUGGGACGGUACUGACGCUGAGACGCGAAAGCGUGGGGAGCGAACAGG
rnacentral:rRNA from 1 species